GUUGUGAUUUGCUUUCAUUUUCAUAUCUUUGAACCAUUGGAAACAG
rnacentral:other from 1 species